AACGAACGCUGGCGGCAUGCCUAACACAUGCAAGUCGAACGAGACCUUCGGGUCUAGUGGCGCACGGGUGCGUAACGCGUGGGAAUCUGCCCUUGGGUUCGGAAUAACAGUUAGAAAUGACUGCUAAUACCGGAUAAUGUCUUCGGACCAAAGAUUUAUCGCCCAGGGAUGAGCCCCGCGUAGGAUUAGCUAGUUGGUGAGGUAAAGGCUCACCAAGGCGACGAUCCUUAGCUGGGUCUGAGAGGAUGAUCAGCCACACUGGGACUGAGACACGGCCCAGACUCCUACGGGAGGCAGCAGUGGGGAAUAUUGGACAAUGGGCGAAAGCCUGAUCCAGCAAUGCCGCGUGAGUGAUGAAGGCCUUAGGGUUGUAAAGCUCUUUUACCCGGGAUGAUAAUGACAGUACCGGGAGAAUAAGCCCCGGCUAACUCCGUGCCAGCAGCCGCGGUAAU
rnacentral:rRNA from 1 species